rnacentral:rRNA from 1 species
UACGAAGGGGGCUAGCGUUGCUCGGAAUCACUGGGCGUAAAGGGCGCGUAGGCGGCCUUGUAAGUUGGGGGUGAAAGCCCGUGGCUCAACCACGGAAUUGCCUUCGAUACUGCUUGGCUUGAGUGUGGUAGAGGUUGGUGGAACUGCGAGUGUAGAGGUGAAAUUCGUAGAUAUUCGCAAGAACACCGGUGGCGAAGGCGGCCAACUGGACCAUCACUGACGCUGAGGCGCGAAAGCGUGGGGAGCAAACAGGGAUUAGAUACCCUGGUAGUCCACGCCGUAAACGAUGAAUGCCAGCUGUUGGGAUGCUUGCAUCUCAGUAGCGCAGCUAACGCUUUGAGCAUUCCGCCUGGGGAGUACGGUCGCAAGAUUAAAACUCAA